GCCGGUGAAGGGGUUGCUCGGCGGCAUGAGCUUCGCAUAAUAUGCGGAUCAGCAACUGGUUUCCCGGUCACAUGGCCGCCAUUCUAAACGACCUCAAGCUCUCAGACCUCGUUAUCGAAGCCGCUUGACGCUCGUAUUCCUCUGCCGUCGGCGAACGAGGGCCUGCAGCCUCAGCUUUCGGCUAAGCGGAGUGUUAUCGCUCUCAAUUUGGCAAACCCUAAUAUCCUCAAUAAAUGGACCCGCCAUUUCGAAUCCUGCAACCAGGAAUUAAUGCCCACAGCAGAAGCUCUGUCAGGGUCGGUGAAAGGUGGAUGAAGAACGCAUUUGUGCUGUACUUUUUGGCCCUCCACCGGAAGCACUUGGACGAGGGAAGAAUUCAAGAUCCUUCCGACGAAACUCUAUCGACAAACCCAGCUACGAGUUAAAGGACUCAUCGGAUGUUCAUUAUGUUCGGGUGGAUUACCUGGCCUUCUCGAUCUUUUUCCCUAACUAAACCCGGGUUUUUGUAAUGAAGAUGGUUCUAUCCUGACACAGUCCUGCAUAAGCAAAACACUAAGCGGCCCAGGAGGAAAUGCAUAACCAGUACCAACACCAACCAUGGGAGAGGUAAGAGUUAAAUAAGAGCUCAUGCACAAGAAAGUUUAUUGAGCAAAAUCUGAUCUCUGAUCAGGUAAUCUGAAUAUAUAUAUAUAUAUACACAUAAUUCAGUCAUCUUUGGAUGUUGACAGUAACUCUUCGUAGCAUUGCCCAUCUCAGAUCUCUGCAGACGAAUAAAUUUCAGAAUUUGAGACCAUCUCGUAACAUGUAAUGGAUUCUGAAAGCCUGUACAUUAAACUGAAAAACAUACUUGUAUGAUUCAUCACAUUACAUGGGUUACCACUUACCACUUCGUAUGAGAAGAUCACUUCUCUGACAUAUGCCAAUGCCAUCUUCAAUGUCUCUGACCAGCAAACAGACGAAGAUGAGUCCUCUCUUCACUUAUCUGGUGGAAGGUAACUGUCACACGAGCCAACCAUCCGAGUUUGUCGGUGUAGCCGUCUCUGGUCCCCUCGGAUUUUUUGGUUGGAAUAUUCGAUCUCAGUCUCAUAAGC